rnacentral:rRNA from 1 species
AUACGAAGGGUGCAAGCGUUGUUCGGAUUUAUUGGGCGUAAAGCGCGCGCAGGCGGACGGCUAAGUCAGAUGUGAAAUCUCGGGGCUCAACCCCGAAACUGCGUCUGAAACUGGUCGUCUAGAAUCUCGGAGAGGAAAGGGGAAUUUCGCAUGUAGGGGUAAAAUCCGUAGAGAUGCGAAGGAACACCAGAGGCGAAGGCGCCUUUCUGGACGAGUAUUGACGCUGAGGCGCGAAAGCGUGGGGAGCAAACAGGAUUAGAUACCCUGGUAGUCCACGCCGUAAACGAUGUGAACUAGGUUCGGGAGGUAUUGACCCCUUCCGUGCCGUAGCUAACGCAUUAAGUUCACCGCCUGGGGAGUACGGUCGCAAGACUAAA